rnacentral:lncRNA from 1 species
AUGCAGGCCAAUUUAGAAAUGGCAGGAAAUGGGGUGACUUCCAUGGGAAUGGAGCCUCUGGCCAUUCCUCACAUCUACUGCUGCUCUGAGGGCACCUGCAACUUCAGCAACACAGAGAACCACUGCCUGAGAGCGGUCCUAGAAGCUUAUGGCAUGAUUCAGGGCAUUGGCCUCAACAUUUACCACCGCUACUCACCCUGGUGGGAGGCACGUGGCUACCAGGGGCAUUACACUGCUGACAUGAGCAACCUUUUCCGAAGAUACCAGUUCAACGUGGCCACCUGG